UACGUAGGGUGCAAGCGUUGUCCGGAAUUAUUGGGCGUAAAGGGCUCGUAGGCGGUUUGUCGCGUCGGGAGUGAAAUCCACUGGCUUAACUGGUGGCUUGCUUUCGAUACGGGCAGACUGGAGGUAUGCAGGGGAGAACGGAAUUCCUGGUGUAGCGGUGAAAUGCGCAGAUAUCAGGAGGAACACCGGUGGCGAAGGCGGUUCUCUGGGCAUUAACUGACGCUGAGGAGCGAAAGCAUGGGGAGCGAACAGG
rnacentral:rRNA from 1 species